UUUGGCACUUGGUAUCAUUACUUCCCCUGACACUGGCCCCGCCUCCCAGCCCUGGGCUGCUGGGACAGAUUGUUUCUGUUUCCUGCUCUAACACAGGGGCCCCGUGGGGAAGGAGGAGCCACCCUACCUGGAGACUGAAGUGUCUCUGUCCCAGACCCAGAGGGAUCUCACUGGUUUUAGACACCCGGACAGCCCUUCCUCGAUGAAGCCUCAGCCCACUGAAUGAAUGACAACCUUGGCUGCACCUGCGUGUCACACGUGGCUGUCUCCAUUGUGGCUCAUGACACCAGUCACUUUCUCCAUCACCUUGCAAGUUUCUGAAGCCCGAGACCCGGGCCUCUUGGACCUCUUCCCAGAGCUUCCCAGGAUACCUACUCCAAAGCUAUCCUUCCCUUCUCGGAGCUCUCAUCUCACCUUGCACAGGCUCUGUCCAAACAGCGUCCUGGGCCAUUGCGCAGGGAGAAGAGAAAUUCUGGCCUGGAUCUUCUGGGGAGCCAGAUCCCCAGGUCUUUCAAUGUUCCAGAAUUGCAGAAAUGCUGGAAGGAACCUCCUGGAUCACCUACUCAUGAAAGAACUCAGGCAACGGAAGGCCGGGGAGAGGAAGGCCACGCCAAAGCCCAGCCCCAAUGAGAAGACCGAGGCAUGCAGAUAAUUAAAGAAAAAAACAAGCAAAAACCUUGCCCAGGUUACACAAUGAGUGAGCACUGGAGGAGAACUCAAAUGCUGGCUGCCUGACUGCACGGGGCUUGCUGGUAACUCUUUGCUGGAGCAGUAAAGGCUCCAGUAGGGUCAGGGAGUCCUGGGAGCUCGGAGGUGGGCAGCUGACGCGGCCCGCGUGGGACGGGAAGGCGCAGCUCGGCAGCUUCUCCACACUCACCACUGAGUCUGUUCACCCUCCCCUGCUCGUGGGCGACUCAUGUUUUCUCACGAUCUCCUCUCCUCAAACCCCACCCCGCCCUCCCCGUCCUCACUCUCAGUUGUUGACCUUGUUUCCCACUCCCUGAAGACAAUCCCAUCUCUCAGAAGUACUUCCAGAUUUGCACGGGCACAUCCACUCCCCCCGCCCAGCCUCUGCACCCACACACUCUGCCUCCCCAAGUCCUAGGAGAGAUGACAGCCCAGGCCUGCCCUCGCCCACCACCCCAGGUGGGCACCGGAGCCCAGUCCCUGUGAUCAGCAAGUCAUCCCCUCCUUCUUCACUGGACCAUUCCCAUCAGUGGUUGUUUUUCCUCCCAUCUUAAACAAACCUGCUCUUGAUCCCCUGUGGCUACCCCUCUGCAACAAAACUCCUCCCAGAGUUGUCUCUAUUCACUAUCAUUGGUUCUUUGCCUGUUUUCUCUCAAACUCACUCCAAUCUGGCUUUCGUCCCCAUUACUCUAUCAAAAAUAUUCCUAUGGGCCAGGCAUGCUGGCUGAUACCUGUAAGCCCAAUGCUUUGGGAGGCUGAGGAGGGCGGAUCGCAAUGUCAAAAGAUUGAGACCAUCCUGGCCAAUGUUAUGAAACCCUGUCUCUACUACAAAAAUUAGCUGGGCAUGGUGGCACAUGCCUGCAGUCUCAGCUUCUCAGGAGGCUGAGGCAGGAAAAUCGCUUGAACCCAGGAGGCAGAGGUUGCAGUGAGCCGAGAUCGCGCCACUGACUGGCAGUAGAGUGAGACUCCAUCUCAAAAACAACAACAACAAAAGUUGGUUCUUGGGUGGGACAGAAAAAUAUUGAUAUUACAAUGGUUUGUAAUUCUCCAAAGGGCCAGAGUACAUGGACAUGUAUACAUUAUAGCUGUGCUGUUAAAAUUCCAUUGUGGGCUAGAUGCGGCAGCUCACGCCUGUAAUCCCAGCAUUUUGGGAGGCUGAGGUGGGUGAAUCACCUGAAAUUAGGAGUUCAAAACCAGCCUGGGCAACGUGAUGAAACCCUGUCUCUACUAAAAUACAAAAAUUAGCC
ensembl:lncRNA